GAGCAAUUCGCUCUAAGAUGAGCCCGCGCGGGAUUAGCUAGUUGGUGAGGUAAUGGCUCACCAAGGCUACGAUCUCUAACUGGUCUGAGAGGAUGAUCAGUCACACUGGAACUGAGACACGGUCCAGACUCCUACGGGAGGCAGCAGUAGGGAAUAUUGCGCAAUGGGGGAAACCCUGACGCAGCGACGCCGCGUGAGUGAUGAAGGACUUCGGUUCGUAAAGCUCUGUCGCAGGGGAAUAAAUUCG
rnacentral:rRNA from 1 species